rnacentral:rRNA from 1 species
AUUGAACGCUAGCGGGAUGCCUUACACAUGCAAGUCGAACGGAGUUGCGAACGGGUGAGUAAUGUAUCGGAACGUGCCCAGUAGCGGGGGCUAACUCCGCGAAAGCGUAGCUCAUACCGCAUACUAUUGGAGCGGCCGAUAUCGGAUUAGCUAGUUGGUGGGGUAACGGCUCACCAAGGCGACGCUCCGUAGCUGGUUUGAGAGGACGACAAGCCACAAUGGGACUGAGACACGGCCCAGACUCCGACGGGCAGCAGCAGUGGGGAAUUUUGGACAAUGGGGGAAACCCUGAUCCAGCCAGCCCGCGGGUGCGAGGAAGGCCUGCGGGUGGUAAAGCACUUUUGGCAGGAAAGCGGUACCUGCAGAAUAAGCACCGGCUAACUACGUGCCAGCAGCCGCGGUAAUAC